UACAGAGGUCUCAACCGUUGUUCGGAUUCAUUGGGCGUAAAGGGUGCGUAGGCGGUCGCGCAAGUCGGAUGUGAAAUCUCGGGGCUCAACCCCGAAACUGCAUUCGAUACUGCGUGGCUAGAGUGCUGGAGGGGAGACUGGAAUUUACGGUGUAGCAGUGAAAUGCGUAGAUAUCGUAAGGAAGACCAGUGGCGAAGGCGGGUCUCUGGGCCGAUACUGACGCUGAGGAGCGAAAGCGUGGGGAGCGAACAGG
rnacentral:rRNA from 1 species